AACGAACGCUGGCGGCAGGCCUAACACAUGCAAGUCGAACGCCCUAGCAAUAGGGAGUGGCAGACGGGUGAGUAACACGUGGGAACGUGCCUUUCGGUUCGGAAUAACCCAGGGAAACUUGGACUAAUACCGGAUACGUGCGAGAGCAGAAAGAUUUAUCGCCGAAAGAUCGGCCCGCGUCCGAUUAGCUAGUUGGUGAGGUAACGGCUCACCAAGGCGACGAUCCUUAGCUGGUCUGAGAGGAUGAUCAGCCACACUGGGACUGAGACACGGCCCAGACUCCUACGGGAGGCAGCAGUGGGGAAUAUUGGACAAUGGGCGCAAGCCUGAUCCAGCCAUGCCGCGUGAGUGACGAAGGCCUUAGGGUUGUAAAGCUCUUUUGGCGGGGAAGAUAAUGACGGUACCCGCAGAAUAAGCUCCGGCUAACUUCGUGCCAGCCGCCGCCGUAAU
rnacentral:rRNA from 1 species